CAGAGAUCCGCAGGCAGCCCAAUAAACUGUUCAAACUGAAGAAUCUACUGUGGCUUUGGGAAAUAAAAUUUUCAAUUUGCACAACCAUUGGAGAGCUGUUUUAACACCAUCUCUGGCCCUUCUGAGACACCAGGAAAAAGGACCAAAAAAUAUUAGUGACUCAUCUUGGUGUGUACAUGACAACGUCCCUCAUAUCACCUGCCUCCGACUAUAUGAGCUCAAGACCCUGUCUAUUGAAAGUGACAUCACUAGUCAAGAAACCCACAAAAGUAUCCUUUCAACAAGGUUGGAUUGUUUUGCUCCUUUUUUAAGCCUGAUCUCUGAAAACGUGGGAAGAUCCAGCAAACAGAAUCGCCGUAUCCCCCUGAAAUUUAAGCGCUCCUCAGAAUCACUCUAAAUUCUGUCCUCGCAACACGGUGGAAAACGUAGCGGGAAAGAAAAAAAAACAUCUAUUAGUCUAGUAAUUGCACUGUGAUUAGCAGAUGUGAGUGUUUGGCAUGGAACAGGCUUUCCUGGAGUUUGGAAGACGUGGAGCCGCUGCUGCAUCCUGAUACAAUACAGCAGCCUCGGCAGCCAUACAUCCUUCAUGUCUUCCUCCGUCUCUCCACCCACCCCCAUGGGUCUCCUCUCCCAUCCAUCCGUUCGCCUCCUCUCCUCUCCUCUGCCUGUCUGGAUCUCACCCAGCUGGCUUCAUUAGACUCUUCACCAUCCCAGAUCUGCUGGUUUUGUCUGUUGCACAUUUUUUGACUGUUUUAUCUUAAGCGCUGUCCAUCCUGGAGCCUCAUAAAUAUUUCCCUGGCAUUUCUGCAUCUGCUCAAACUGGCUGCUAAUGAAACAAUUCAUGUGUCCAUUGUGCAUUUGUUUUUUAAUUAAUCUUUGUGUCCUGCGUUUAUUAUUAUUAUUAUCAUUGUUUGUGAUCGUUCGCCGACACGUGAGGUGAAAGAAAAGAGGAAUUCAGGUGGUUUUUACUUUUGUAAGAUUUAUAAAUUAUUCCAGUGUUUGUUUUUUCAUUGUUUUCCUCAUGUUGGACACAAAUGUUCAGAUGAUGGGAUAUUUCAAAGCAGUGUUGACAGAUUAGUCACUUUUCAACUCUGUAACUUUAUACAUAUAAUAGAGUACAGCAGACAUUCAUAAAUAUGUUCUGGUCAAACUCGGGCUCUUUAUUAAUUAUGAUUAUUGAUUACUGAUUUUAAUGUUGUAUCCAAUUUUAAGGCAUAUAUGAUGAGAUGUAAAUAUCACUCAUGUAGCCUCAGGCAAAACUGGUUUUAAUUAUUAAUUAAUUCCUCUCGUCUUCACAUUCUAUAACAAAACAGCUAUCUUUCCCUCAAUUGCCUUUUAAUCAUUCUGACAAUCUAUUGAACUACAAUAUUUUAUACAAUAUUAUACAAUAAAGAUUGAUAAUUUUUACUAAUAAUCACAUGUUUCUACUGUAAUAUCAGGUCUGAGGAUGAAGAGUUGCACCUGAUGGCAUCAUCACACGUGUUCGACUGGAAUCAUCUGUGUUCACAAGAAAGGUACCUCAUUUAUUGUUUUCAUAAAUUAAUUUUUAUGUAAAUGCUAUUCAUUCUCAAGUGAACGCAUUUUAAACUCAACAGUUAGACAUAGGGCAAAA